AAUGAAUUGCCUGAUAAAAAGGAUUACCUUGAUAGGGUAAAUUAUAUAAUAAAAAUUAUAUUCAUUA
rnacentral:tRNA from 1 species